UACGACUACAUAUCAGGCAUAUCAAUAAGCGGAGGAAAAGAAACUAACAAGGAUUCCCUUAGUAACGGCGAGUGAAGCGGGAAGAGCUCAAAUUUGAAAUCUUCAAGGUUCUACCUUGACGAAUUGUAGUUUAAAGAAGUGUUUUCUGUUGGAGGAGUAGCAAAAGUUCCUUGGAAUGGGACAUCAUAGAGGGUGAGAAUCCCGUAUUUGGUUAUUCUUUCUAGCUUUGUGAUACACUUUCAAAGAGUCGGAUUGUUUGGGAAUGCAGUCCAAAAUGGGUGGUAAAUUUCAUCUAAAGCUAAAUAUUGGCGAGAGACCGAUAGCGAACAAGUACCGUGAGGGAAAGAUGAAAAGAACUUUGAAAAGAGAGUUAAACAGUACGUGAAAUUGUCAAAAGGGAAGCGUUUGACACCAGUGUUGUUUAGUUGAAAAUCAAUUCAAUAGUUUUUGAUUCUAAGUAGUAUUGACUUCAUCAGCUUGCUGCUUUCUUCUCAGAAAUUAUUGAAUGCACUUUUCAGUUAACAAGUCAACAUCAAUUUCUUUUGUUGUAAAAGGGUAAGAGGAAGGUGGCUUGCGCUUCGGCUCAAGUGUUUAUAGCCUUUUAUCUCUGCAAUCGGAGAGAUUGAGGUCUGCAGCGUAGAUCCUUCGGGGUUAGAUACAUUGGUGCUAAGCUAUAGCCUUGUAUAGACAACUUGUUGACUAUGCUCAGUCAUGUAGCUUACUCGCUGAUGCUAUUUUACCUACGCUUAGGAUGUUGAUCUACAGAGCGAGAGU
rnacentral:rRNA from 1 species